rnacentral:rRNA from 1 species
GACGAACGCUGGCGGCGUGCCUAAUACAUGCAAGUCGAGCGAAGAAGCGAGGUGCUUGCUCCACUUUCAAUAGCAGCGAACGGGUGAGUAACGCGUGGGUAAUCUGCCUAUAAGCGGGGGAUAACUUCGGGAAACGGAUGCUAAUACCGCAUAACAUCUUUAAACAUAUGUUUCAAUUGUGAAAGACGCAAUUGCUGUACUCAAUCGUGAUCUCGCGUGGUAUUAGCUAGUUGGUUAGGUAAAGGCUCUCCAAGGCGAUGAUGCGUUGCCGACCUGAGAGGUGGUUCGCCCACAUGGGACUGGGGCACGGGCCAAACCCCCUAGGGGAGGCACCAGAAGGAAACUUUGGGCAAGGGCGGAAAGCUUGCCGAAGAAACCCGGCGUGGUGGAUGAAGGUCUCGGGAUCGUAAAACUCGUUUAUUGGGGAGAAACAAAGGUGGAAGGGACUAUGCACGUAGUGACGGUACCUAAUCAGAAAGCGACGGCUAACUACGUG